rnacentral:rRNA from 1 species
UAGUGUAGAUAGAGUUUGAUCAUGGCUCAGAGCGAACGCUGGCGGCAGGCCUAACACAUGCAAGUCGAACGAGCCUUCGGGCUAGUGGCGGACGGGUGAGUAACACGUGGGAACGUACCUUUAGGUUCGGAAUAACGCAGAGAAAUUUGCGCUAAUACCGAAUGUGCCCUUCGGGGAAAGAUUUAUCGCCUUUAGAGCGGCCCGCGUUAGAUUAGCUAGUUGGUGAGGUAAAGGCUCACCAAGGCUACGAUCUAUAGCUGGUCUGAGAGGAUGAUCAGCCACAUUGGGACUGAGACACGGCCCAAACUCCUACGGGGAGGCAGCAGUGGGGAAUCUUGCGCAAUGGGCGAAAGCCUGACGCAGCCAUGCCGCGUGAAUGAUGAAGGUCUUAGGAUUGUAAAAUUCUUUCAGCAGGGACGAUAAUGACGGUACCUGCAGAAGAAGCCCCGGCUAACUUCGUGCCAGCCGCGC